rnacentral:rRNA from 1 species
CACGUAGGGUGCGAGCGUUGUCCGGAAUUAUUGGGCGUAAAGAGCUCGUAGGCGGUCCGUCGCGUCGGAUGUGAAAUUCCAGGGCUCAACCCUGGACCUGCAUUCGAUACGGGCGGACUAGAGUUCGGUAGGGGAGACUGGAAUUCCUGGUGUAGCGGUGAAAUGCGCAGAUAUCAGGAGGAACACCGGUGGCGAAGGCGGGUCUCUGGGCCGAUACUGACGCUGAGGAGCGAAAGCGUGGGGAGCGAACAGG